AAAGGAAUUGACGGGGGCCCGCACAAGCAGCGGAGCAUGUGGUUUAAUUCGAAGCAACGCGAAGAACCUUACCUGGGCUUGACAUCCCCUGCAUAUCUUAGAGAUAAGAGAAGCCCUUCGGGGCAGGGAGACAGGUGGUGCAUGGUUGUCGUCAGCUCGUGUCGUGAGAUGUUAGGUUAAGUCCUGCAACGAGCGCAACCCCUGUUGCUAGUUGCUAACAGUAAGAUGAGCACUCUAGCGAGACUGCCGCGGCUAACGCGGAGGAAGGUGGGGAUGACGUCAAAUCAUCAUGCCCCUUAUGUCCAGGGCGACACACGUGCUACAAUGGGCAGGACAGAGAGAAGCGAGACCGCGAGGUGGAGCGAACCUUGAAAUCUGCCCCCAGUUCGGAUUGCAGGCUGCAACCCGCCUGCAUGAAGAUGGAGUUGCUAGUAAUCGCGAAUCAGCAUGUCGCGGUGAAUACGUUCCCGGGCCUUGUACACACCGCCCGU
rnacentral:rRNA from 1 species